UCAAAUACCCAAAGGACACAAAGCCAUAGGACACCUUCUUUGAGGGCCCUCAUUGCUUCUUGCCCAGCAUGGGACAUGCUGAAGACUUGCGACAGAAGGAAAGGACUGGAUGUGGGACCAUGGGCCACAGCCAAAUUCUAAAGAAGUGAGCCAGAGGUGUGGUUGAGACCCAACCCCUGCCAGGGGAAGCCAAAGGCCAAUGGUUGAGAAACGCUUUCUUGGCCUAUUCAGAAAGGUGGUGAAAGCUUGGUGCCAAAGGACUUCUGUCAGCAUCAGCGUCUUUACUAAAAUUCACGUUCACUUACUCAGGCCAGGCCCUGUAUUCAAGCACACGCUUCAUACACAGAAACCUAUGAGAUGGUUAUUAUUUCCCCCACUUUACAGAUGAAGAGACAGAGCCUCUGAGAGUCUAGGGAAAUUGUCCAAGAUCACACAGCUAACAAGGAGCAGCCUGGUCUCUCCGAGGCAUGAAGGCAGUGCACUGAAUAGACACACCUGCAGCUCCCACCAGUUGCUAUAAGGUAACUUCACAACACCCUAUGACGAAGUAUUAUUAUUUCCACUUGAUGGUGGAGGAAAUGGAAACUGAAAGUAGUUAAGUAACUAUCCCAUGAUUAGAGUGCACACAAGUGUUGGAAUUGGGCUGUAAAUCUAAGUCUCCCAAGUUCCAACGCCUUUUUGGAUGUGACAAUCACUGUAGAAGUAAGAAGCACUAAGUCACGGAGCCAUCAUUAGAAGGCAGACCAUAGGAACAAAAGUCACACAGUCACUGGAUGGCAGUUUUCCCUGGAACUGGACUUGAUCCUUGCAAAGAGGUGUUCUUGGGAGAGAGAGAUGUUUGGAUCUUACAAGCAAGGCUCUAGUGUAUCCCCAUCUCACACCAUGGAGUCAAGUCUCAACCACCUCCUCCUACUGUCACUCAGCAAAUGGAAUGGUUUCGGUGUGCUGAGAGCCCUGUACUGUGAAUAAGGGAGAAGACCAAGACACGUCAGGCACAACUAGAUCAUGAAAUCAACUCAAGACUUCAAAAACUCUCUAUAAUGGGAUACUGGAGCAAAGACACUUUGCUGUUGUGUUGCUUUUUAAUGUGGUAAUUUUCAACUAGGUAGUUGCAGUCAAAUAGAGGCAAAUGCAGAAAAUCCCUCUGUGCCCUGCUGUGUGGGGCCAGUGAUGGAUGCUGUCUGGGAAGCUGAGAUACAUACAGCCCAGGCUCUGGUCAUACGGAGCCUGCUCUCUGGGCAGGAAGAUGGACACCUGGAUAAGUCAGAAACAAAACAGCGUGAAAUGAGUACACCCAAAUGAGGACGAUGGGAACACAGAGAACCAAGAAAAGAUUUGUGACAAAGGCAAGAUCUGUAAGCUCAGCCUGGUAGGACGUGUAUGAGAAAGUGAAGAGGGUGUUGCUGGCCAUCGUGAGUGAUGACACAGGUGUCUCUGACUUGAAGGUUCUUGAACACCAUGAUCACGACCUUGGGCUUCACUGUGUACACUGUGAACAUAUCAUGAGUACUUUGAGAAGGGAUGUGAUGUGAAAAGAGCUUUGCUUCUGAAAGCUCACACUGGUGCCUGGGCACAGGGUGAAUAAGACACAGAGAGAUGGGGCAUGGAGGCUAGUUAGGGAGCUGCCACCAUAACCCUGAGAAGACACGAGGGGCCCUGACCAAGCUGUGGAGAGAAGGACUGCAAGAGGGAGACUUUAAGAAGGGAAAAAUCAACAGACUUGAGAACUGACAGGAGGUGGUAAGAAGAAGCGGAAGAAAGAAUUAGGAUGACUCAAAGCUUUGGAACAAUGAAUAGAAGGAAUUUUGUAUUUCUCAUUAAAAUUGGAAGCAAAAAAAUAA